UCCCGGUUAACCCGGGCAGUCUCGCUAGAGUGCCCAACAUUACUUGAUGGCAACUAACGACAAGGGUUGCGCUCGUUGCGGGACUUAACCCAACACCUCACGGCACGAGCUGACGACAGCCAUGCAGCACCUGUGCAUCUGUCUCUUGCGAGAAGAAUACAUCUCUGUAUCUGUCAAAUGCAUGUCAAAUCCAGGUAAGGUUCUUCGCGUUGCAUCGAAUUAAACCACAUGCUCCACUGCUUGUGCGGGUCCCCGUCAAUUCUUUUGAGUUUCACCCUUGCGAGUGUACUUCCCAGGCGGUAUACUUAUCGCGUUAGCUUCGGCACAGUCGGGGUUGAGUCCGACUACGCCAAGUAUACAUCGUUUAAGGCAAGGACUAC
rnacentral:misc_RNA from 1 species